rnacentral:rRNA from 1 species
GACGAACGCUGGCGGCGUGCUUAACACAUGCAAGUCGAACGGAAAGGCCCUGCUUGCAGGGUGCUCGAGUGGCGAACGGGUGAGUAACACGUGGGUGAUCUGCCCCUUACUUUGGGAUAAGCCUGGGAAACUGGGUCUAAUACUGGAUAGGACCAUGCUGUAGGUGGUGGGGUGGAAAGAUUAGUUUCGGUAAGGGAUGAGCUCGCGGCCUAUCAGCUUGUUGGUGGGGUAAUGGCCUACCAAGGCGUCGACGGGUAGCCGGCCUGAGAGGGUGGACGGCCACAUUGGGACUGCGAUACGGCCCAGACUCCUACGGGAGGCAGCAGUGGGGAAUAUUGCACAAUGGGCGCAAGCCUGAUGCAGCGACGCCGCGUGGGGGAUGACGGCCUUCGGGUUGUAAACUCCUUUCAGCCAUGACGAAGCCCUUGUGGUGACGGUAGUGGUAGAAGAAGCACCGGCUAACUACGUG